rnacentral:rRNA from 1 species
AUAGGAAAUAAAAAGGCAUCUUUUUGUUUUUAAAAGACCUUCUUCGGAGGGUAUGCUUAAAGAGGGGCUUGCGCCACAUUAGUUAGUUGGUGAGGUAAAGGCUUACCAAGAUUAUGAUGUGUAGCUGGACUGAGAGGUUGAACAGCCACAUUGGGACUGAGACACGGCCCAAACUCCUACGGGAGGCAGCAGUAGGGAAUUUUCGGCAAUGGAGGAAACUCUGACCGAGCGACGCCGCGUGAACGAUGAAGUAUUUCGGUAUGUAAAGUUCUUUUAUUGAAGAAGAAAAAAUAGUGGAAAAACUAUCUUGACGUUAUUCAAUGAAUAAGCCCCGGCUAACUAUGUGCCAGCAGCCGCGGUAAGACAUAGGGGGCGAGCGUUAUCCGGAAUUAUUGGGCGUAAAGGGUGCGUAGGCGGUUAGAUAAGUCUAUAAUUUAAUUUCAGUGCUUAACGCUGUCUUGUUAUAGAAACUGUCUUGACUAGAGUGAGAUAGAGGCAAGCGGAAUUCCAUGUGUAGCGGUAAAAUGUGUAAAUAUAUGGAGGAACACCAGAAGCGUAGGCGGCUUGCUGGGUCUUUACUGACGCUGAGGCACGAAAGCGUGGGGAGCAAACAGGAUUAGAUACCCUGGUAGUCCACGCUGUAAACGAUGAGUACUAAGUGUCGGGGCAACUCGGUACUGAAGUUAACACAUUAAGUACUCCGCCUGAGUAGUACGUACGCAAGUAUGAAACUUAAAGGAAUUGACGGGACUCCGCACAAGCGGUGGAUCAUGUUGUUUAAUUCGAAGAUACACGAAAAACCUUACCAGGUCUUGACAUACUCUGCGAAGCUAUAGAAAUAUAGUGGAGGUUAUCAGGGAUACAGGUGGUGCAUGGUUGUCGUCAGUUCGUGUCGUGAGAUGUUAGGUUAAGUCCUAAAACGAACGCAACCCCUGUCGUUAGUUACCAGCACGUAAUGGUGGGGACUUUAGCGAGACUGCCAAUUAAACAUUGGAGGAAGGUGGGGAUAACGUCAAAUCAUCAUGCCCCUUAUGAUCUGGGCUACAAACGUGAUACAAUGGCUGUUACAAAGAGUAGCUGAAACGCGAGUUUUUAGCCAAUCUCAAAAAGACAGUCUUAGUCCGGAUUGAAGUCUGCAACUCGACUUCAUGAAGCUGGAAUCGCUAGUAAUCGCGAAUCAGCAUGUCGCGGUGAAUACGUUCU